AGACAGACAGACAGACAGACAGACAGACAGACAAGACAGACAAGACAGACAGACAGACAGACAGACAGACAGACAGACAGACAGACAGACAGACAGACAGACAGACAGACAGACAGACAGACAGACAGACAGACAGACAGACAGACACUUAUUGUACCAGGAGAGAGAGACUAGUUUAACACUUAUUAUACCAGGAGAGACUAGUUUAACACUUAUUAUACCAGGAGAGACUAGUUGAACACUUAUUAUACCAGGAGAGACUAGUUGAACACUUAUUAUACCAGGAGAGACUAGUUGAACACUUAUUAUACCAGGAGAGACUAGUUUAACACUUGUUAUACCAGGAGAGAGAGAGAGACUAGUUUAACACUUGUUAUACCAGGAGAGAGAGAGAGACUAGUUUAACACUUAUUAUACCAGGUGAGAGACUAGUUUAACACUUGUUAUACCAGGAGAGAGAGAGACUAGUUUAACACUUAUUAUACCAGGUGAGAGACUAGUUUAACACAUUAUACCAGGAGAGACUAGUUUAACACUUGUUAUACCAGGAGAGAGAGAGACUAGUUUAACACUUGUUAUACCAGGAGAGACUAGUUUAACAUUUAUUAUACCAGGAGAGACUAGUUUAACACUUGUUAUACCAGGAGAGACUAGUUUAACAUUUAUUAUACCAGGAGAGACUAGUUUAACACUUGUUAUACCAGGAGAGACUAGUUUAACACUUAUUAUACCAGGAGAGACUAGUUUAACACUUGUUAUACCAGGAGAGACUAGUUUAACACAUUAUACCAGGAGAGACUAGUUUAACACUUGUUAUACCAGGAGAGACUAAUUUAACACUUGUUAUACCAGGAGAGACUAGUUUAACACUUGUUAUACCAGGAGAGAGAGAGAGAGACUAGUUUAAUACUUGUUAUACCAGGAGAGACUAGUUUAACACUUGUUAUACCAGGAGAGACUAGUUUAACACUUAUUAUACCAGGAGAGAGAGAGACUAGUUGAACACUUAUUAUACCAGGAGAGA
rnacentral:lncRNA from 1 species